ACUCCUACGGGAGGCAGCAGUGGGGAAUUUUGGACAAUGGGCGAAAGCCUGAUCCAGCAAUGCCGCGUGAGUGAAGAAGGCCUUCGGGUUGUAAAGCUCUUUUGUCAGGGAAGAAACGGUGAAAGCUAAUAUCUCUUGCUAAUGACGGUACCUGAAGAAUAAGCACCGGCUAACUACGUGCCAGCAGCCGCGGUAAUACGUAGGGUGCAAGCGUUAAUCGGAAUUACUGGGCGUAAAGCGUGCGCAGGCGGUUUUGUAAGUCUGAUGUGAAAUCCCCGGGCUCAACCUGGGAAUUGCAUUGGAGACUGCAAGGCUAGAAUCUGGCAGAGGGGGGUAGAAUUCCACGUGUAGCAGUGAAAUGCGUAGAUAUGUGGAGGAACACCGAUGGCGAAGGCAGCCCCCUGGGUCAAGAUUGACGCUCAUGCACGAAAGCGUGGGGAGCAAACAGGAUUAGAUACCCCUGUAGUCCCAU
rnacentral:rRNA from 1 species